rfam:Oryza sativa Japonica Group DNA, chromosome 12, cultivar: Nipponbare, complete sequence.
CGCAACCACGAGUUACGAGUUUCUGUGCCUAACUUUAAUUAUCCGUCUAAUUUAAUAUUUUUUUAUGAUUAAUAUUUUUAUUGUUAUUAGAUAAUAAAAUAUGAAUAGUACUUUAUGCUUAACUUACGUUUUUAAUUUUUUUUAAAAAAAAUUCAAAAAAUACGGACAAUUAAAGUUGGGCACGAAAAAUCAUGGCUGCAGUUAAA